GAUGAACGCUGGCGGCGUGCCUAAUACAUGCAAGUAGAACGCUGAAGGAGGAGCUUGCUCUUCUGGAUGAGUUGCGAACGGGUGAGUAACGCGUAGGUAACCUGCCUGGUAGCGGGGGGUAACUAUUGGAAACGAUAGCUAAUACCGCAUGACAACAGUUAUUGCAUGAUAACUGUUUAAAAGGGGCAACUGCUCCACUACCAGAUGGACCUGCGUUGUAUUAGCUAGUUGGUGAGGUAACGGCUCACCAAGGCGACGAUACAUAGCCGCCCUGAGAGGGGUAGCGGGCACACCGGGACGGAGACACGGCCCCGACGCCUACGGGAGGCAGCAGUAGGGAAUCCUCGGCAAUGGACGGAAGUCUGACCGAGCAACGCCGCGUGAGUGAAGAAGGUUUUCGGGUCGUAAAGCUCUGUUGUAAGAGAAGAACGAGUGUGAGAGGGGAAAGUUCACACUGUGACGGUAUCUUACCAGAAAGGGACGGCUAACUACGUG
rnacentral:rRNA from 1 species